UACGUAGGGGGCGAGCGUUGUCCGGAUUUAUUGGGCGUAAAGAGCUCGUAGGCGGCUUGGCAAGUCGGGUGUGAAACCUCCAGGCUCAACCUGGAGACGCCACUCGAUACUGCUAUGGCUAGAGUCCGGUAGGGGACCACGGAAUUCCUGGUGUAGCGGUGAAAUGCGCAGAUAUCAGGAGGAACACCGGUGGCGAAGGCGGUGGUCUGGGCCGGCACUGACGCUGAGGCACGAAGGUCAGGGGAGCAAACGGG
rnacentral:rRNA from 1 species